AGCGAACGCUGGCGGCAGGCCUAACACAUGCAAGUCGAACGAACCUUUCGGGGUUAGUGGCGGACGGGUGAGUAACACGUGGGAACGUGCCUUUAGGUUCGGAAUAACUCAGGGAAACUUGUGCUAAUACCGAAUGUGCCCUUCGGGGGAAAGAUUAAUCGCCUUUAGAGCGGCCCGCGUCUGAUUAGCUAGUUGGUUGAGGUAAUGGCUCACCAAGGCGACGAUCAGUAGCUGGUCUGAGAGGAUGAUCAGCCACAUUGGGACUGAGACACGGCCCAAACUCCCACGGGGGGGAGGAGGGGGGGAACUUUGGCAAAGGGGGAAAACCCGACGCAGCCAUGGCGGGGGAAAUGAGAAGGGUUUAGGAUUGGAAAAUUUUUUCACCCGGGACGAUAAAUACGGGACCCGGAGAAAAAACCCCCGGUAACUUCGUG
rnacentral:rRNA from 1 species